rnacentral:lncRNA from 1 species
UGCUUUAUUUAGUUGCCUGUGAAGCUCGUGCUGCUCCGAGAGCCCUGCGCAGCAGAAUGGCUAUUUGGCUACAGAAGCACAGGAGAUCUGCAUGCACGUCAAAGCUCACACAGCAAGGCUGAGAGUCUGCCCUUGCAGCAGAGGCUAAAUCCUGCUCACCUCCAGCAGAACCCUGUGGCCUCUCCCUGCUGGAUGCAGCCGGUCUGGCUUCACCGUGUUGGGGCAUCGGGGCCAGAAUGCCUGAUCAGAGCCAUGAAUAAUGAGGAGUAGACCUCAAAGACACCGACCCUGCAGUAGGACUUGAAGAGCUGUCUGCAGUGGGAAAACUGCCAUCAGGGGACAGCCAGCAAGGGAAGGCUGAUGUCUGUUGUGGAAGACUGCACUCAGGCUUUGCUCAUGUCUCAGGUAUUAAGAUCUGAUUGUGGGUACCUCCAAAUGCAGAGCACUUUUUCCACUGAUUUUAGAGACAUG